rnacentral:rRNA from 1 species
UACGUAGGGGGCAAGCGUUGUCCGGAAUCAUUGGGCGUAAAGCGCACGUAGGCGGCUUGGUAAGUUAGAGGUGAAAGCCUGGAGCUCAACUCCAGAAUUGCCUUUAAGACUGCCGAGCUAGCAGGUGAGAGAGGUGAGUGGAAUUCCGAGUGUAGAGGUGAAAUUCGUAGAUAUUCGGAAGAACACCAGUGGCGAAGGCGGCUCACUGGCUCAUACUGGACGCUGAGGUGCGAAAGCGUGGGGAGCAAACAGG